UGGCUCAGUGGAUAGAGCGUUGGGCCGUGGACUGAAAGGUUCCGGGUUCGAUUCCCGG
rnacentral:tRNA from 1 species